GUAAUUUCCAUUGUUCUCUCUUCAAGUUCACUGAUUAUUUCUCUUGCCUGCUCAAAUCUGCUUUUGAAUACCUCUAGUGAUCUUUAAAAUUUCAGUUAUUGUACUUUUCAGCUUCAGAAUUUCUUUUUUAAUAGGUUUUCUCUUUAUUGAUAUCCCUAUUUUGUUUAUACCUUGUUUUCUUGUCUUUCCCUACAUCCCUAGUUCUUUGAACAUAUUAAGACAGGUUUUUAAAAAGUAUUUAUUUAAUAUAUCUUAUAUUAAAUUUAUCUCAGGGACAGAUUAUGUCAAAUGGUUUUUCUUUUUUUAAAGAUUAUUUAUUUAUUUAUUCAUGAGACAGAGAGACAGCAGAGACAUAGGCAGAGGGAGAAGCAGGCUCCAUGCAGGAAGCCUGAUGUGGGACUCGAUCCCGGGACUCCAGGAUCACACCCUGGGCCGAAGGCAGGCACUCAACCACUGAGCCACUCAGGCAUCCCAUGGUUUCUCUUUUGAAUGGGCCAUGCUUUCCCAGUUCUUUCUAUGCUUUGUGUGGUUUUUUUUGAACACUGGAAUUUUGAAGAUAAUAAUGUGGUAAAUCUGGCAAUCAGGUUCUCCCCAUUACCCAGGGUGUGUUGGUUGUUUGUUAUUGUUUUGUUUGUUUGUUUCAGGUUGUCUCAAACAACCAGGGAUCAGCCUGAGGUAUAAACAUAAUGUCUUCUUAGAUAUUUUCUGAGAUUUUCCUGGGCAAAUGCAGUCACUUUUAAAUUUUCUUUGUACAUGCAGUUGUUUUUGAAUAUCCAGUCUUUAAUGUCUGGCUCAUGACAGUGGAAAGGUGAAAAAUGAAGGUGAGAAAAAGGCACUUCCCUUUACAUUUCCUGGAAGUCAGCUCAGCCUGUGUGUGUGUGUGUGUGUGUGUGUGUGUGUGUGUGUGUGGAGAGGGGCUUGCAGUGGGAGGGGGAGGUGCAACAACAAUGGCUACCUGCAUCUUUGCACCUCUGUGAUCAGAAGUAGCAACCAGCAGUGAGACUACAGAUCACCAAUAUUUGGAGGGCAGUGCCCUUUUUGUCCAUCCUUGCUCCUGAAGCCUGUAUGUAAGCUGCUCAAGGAACAUGUGCACAGCUGCCUGCCAUGUGGCUGGAGGUGGAGAUGGGUAGCUGCUGCUGUAUUAAGAGCUAAAGUUGACGAAAAUGAACAAAAAUUUACCAUCCAAGUGUUCCUCUGGAAGUUUCAAUGCUUCAAAACAUUCCAGAGUUCCAAAAUAAUUACAUUAGACAGAUUCUGCAAGUGCCAUUUUUGUCUAGAUGGGAGACAGAUUCCUGGUGCUUCCUUCUCCACCAUCUUCCAGAGUCCUGUCUAGGGUUAAUUUUAUCUCACUAUCGAGGGAAGACCUUUUCUAGUGCUCUAGCUGAUGACUUUUGAAUGAUGUGAUUUUCCAGUCUGUUGGGAACAGGCACUGUCCCCUCCCAUCCUUUCCAAAUGUUUCCUCUGCCUUGGGCAGCUUGCUCACAUCCAUGCACUAGUGAAUUCUCAGGUGAAUACUUCAAGAGGAUCAUCUGCGAUCUCUCUUUAUAGAACUCCUCUCUCCAGUACUCUGCCCUACGAAUCCUAGCCACUUUGUCCAACACAGAUUCCUAGUUCCAUUCCCUCAACUUGAGGAGGCUACCAGGCUCUGUGGGGUUCGCUUCCUCACAUCAUGGCCCUGAAACUUCUACCAGGCAGUGAGCUGGGUCAAUUGUCGUCCUUACUCCCUUUGCUUCCCAUCUUUCAAAGAUCUCUGUUCAUCAGACAGUGAUGUUCAAUGUCUAAGAAACAUGGUCUCAAUUAACUAAUUUUUUAGAGAGUAAGAGCAAGAGUGAGCAAGGGGAAGGAGCAGGGGGAGAGGGAGAGAGAAUCUUAAGCAGACUCCAUGCCCAGUGCAGAGCCUGAUGUGGGGCUCAGUUUCAUGUCUCAUUUUGUUUCAGUUUGUUGUUUCAGGUUGGAGGGUGGUCAGUCCCUACUGAUGUAAUAAUAGCUGACAGUGAGGCUGAAGCUCCAAUUCAAAAUUAGUAUCUUCCUCAAAUGAAUGUACUAAUGGUACUAAUCACUAUCUUUCUUGCUAAUAGAAGUUAUAUUUUCUUUGUAGACUGAGCUUCUGGAGAGGAAGAUACAAAUCUGAGUCACAAUAAGUACUUGAGAAAAUGAAAAAUAUGAAUGCUUAAUAUGUAUCUACCUAAUCGAUUAAAGUAAUAAAGGUUAACUUUAUUUAGCAUAGGAUUGCUAGACUUAUAGGUCAUGGAGGUGUCAUGGAAAUAUAGCAUGUGUUGAUAGCUGUAAGGAGUUCCAUGACGUUUCUUAGGAGAGCCUUUGUGAUAAAAUACAGGUCUUAGUUUCUUAAUUAAGUGAAUCUGUGGUGAGUUAAAUAAAUUAAAAAAAAAAAA
rnacentral:lncRNA from 1 species